GGAGAUGUAGCUCAGCUGGUAGAGUGCUUGCUUAGCAGCUAGGAAGACCUGGGUUCUGUCCCCAGCACCACCU
rnacentral:tRNA from 1 species